GUUGUUCUUAAGCCACCCACUGUAUGCUAUUCUGUUAUAGCAGCCUGGACAGAUAAGAUACAGUUGGGCUGGGGGCCCAGUGCAAGGAAAUUCAGGGCCCCUUGUUCAAAAGCAGGAGAAAAACUUUUUUCUUUCUUCUGUGGGCUCUGUCUUGACUCAUCGUGUGUUUUUAAAUUUGCUAUUUAAUGUCAUGCCCUCUAGGCAUGGGGAGACUUGGGUGAGUACAACCCUCAGGGCUUUCUGGGAUGCUGCCCCAACCCCCACCCUCCAUGUGUUUGCACCCAGGCCUCUGUUGAGGGCACUGCAGCUCACAGGGUGACCUCUGAGCUCCGGUUGGAGCAGAAGUGAUUACAGCUGGAGGAAAGUGCAGCCAGCAGCAACCUGGUAUUUAGGGUGAUUAACGAACGGACUGGAAAUUUCCUCUGCUUCGGCCUCAGCCUGCACCUGAACUGUGGCCGAUGCAGCAGUCCAUUUCUGUAUAAUGUCUUUUGACAGCUGGAAGGAGGGCAAACCCAAAAGACUAACCUAAUUACAGUGAAGGAGAGAUCUGGCUGCUCUCUGCUGACAAGGCAAUGGCGAGCCGUUGGGCAUCUAAAGAGGAAAGGGCUGUGUUCAGAGCAGCACCUGAGGAAGGUGUCGUGGGCGGCCAAGUUUCAGAAGAAUUGAGGAGAAAAGAAUCCAGGUAGCACCAAUCUGCUUGCCUAAGGCUGUCCUCACUCCCUCCAGUGGGCUAAGAGAGUUCUCCUUUCGGCAAACUCCCUCUAUAACUUGGCAUUCUCAGGCCUCUACAUUUCUGCCAACCACAGGGAUGUGAAUCAACAUUUCAUUGUAAUAUUAACUUGCAUUUCCCUGAGGACCCAGCCCAUGGCAGAAAGGCUUGUGCCAGCAUGGACACACACAAGACUGGGUCUCCUGCCCAGGAGUGCUGGUUCCUGAGACAGAAGAGUCUUUGUGAAGAAGGGAGAAGAAGAACCCUGAUGCCUCCUGUGGGCUCCAGGCGGAGGAAGGAGGGAUGCCUGGCACUGAGGGGAGGCAGGGCCUGACUGGAGCCUCCAACGUGCGGCGAGAGGCUUUCUAGAUUUCUGAGGCUUCUGGGGCCAAGGGGCUGGGUCCCCUGGAAGGGGAGAGAGAAAGCAGGAGUAGGGCCUUUCUCCUCUCACUGUCCUGAGGGGACCCGGCAGGCUCUGCCCCCACCUUCUUUCUAGAAUGUGGGAGAUACUUGAGGGCACCUCAGAAAGUUGAGGCUAUAGCAUAGAUAUGGAACAGAUAACAGUGGAAGUAGAGAAAGAUUGUCUUUUAAGUCCCUUUCAAUACUUCUAAUUGUAUCUGGGGGAAAGACUCCCUUUGGUCUAACCCAGCGGUUCUCAACCUGUGGGUCAUGACUCCUUUGGCGGUCGAACGACCCUUUCACAGGGGUCGCCUAAGACCAUCCUGCAUAUCAGAUAUUUACAUUACGAUUCAUAACAGUAGCAACAUUACAGUUAUGAAGUAGCAGCGAAAAGAAUUUUAUGGUUGGGUCACAAUGUGAGGAACUGUGUUUAAAGGGCCAGAAGGUUGAGAACCACUGGUCUAACCUGUCAACCCUGUGGAAUGCUUGCUAAUCCCCCCCUUUAACUCUGAGAGACUGGGCCUGAGGCUUUGGAGACCUGGGAGCUGGGGUAUCUGACUAGAUAUUUAAUAACGUUGCUUUGUUUGUGUUGUAUUUGCUUGUUGGGGGUUGCCUUCUAUUCUGACAAGUGAUGGCAGUUUGCUAUUAGUGAUGCUAAUAGAAAGUUUCCUUUUAAUACAUGUAUUUGAGCAAAAGAAAGCCACCGUAUGUGUGUAAGAUCACAUUUAUGUGAACAUCUGGAUAAAGAGAUGUAGAAAAGGAGGGUCAGCAGAAUGUUGAUGGCAGUCAGAUCCCGGUGAUUUCUGUCUUCCUUAUGCUUUUUUUUUUGUAUUGUUUGCAUUUUUUACAAUGAGCAUACAUUAUUUAAAAUAUCAGAAAAUAACUACUUUUGUUAUGGAGAAAGGUACAUAUGUUUAAAGGAACAUACUAAAUACAUAAUAAUGCAAGGAAUAUAUGGCUUUAGCAACAUGGUUGACUUGGCCUGGGUGACUUUGUGCUGGGAGACUAUGAGGACCGGCCCAGGCAAACAGCCAGGACAGCCUACCUGUCACGGGAAAUUUGGGCACCUACUUACUGCUGGAGGCUGGGCCUGGUCUUUUCAGCCCUGUCCAGAGGAUUUCAUUUCAGUGUCUCACCGACAACUUUUGAACCAGGUAAAAGCAUUGAUCGGUUGACGAGCUGGGACUGAGUUUCUGUGGUGUGUUAGACCAGGGGUCCUCAAACUUUUUAAACAGGGGGCCAGUUCACCGUCCCUCAGACCGUUGGAGGGCCAGACUAUAGUUUUAAAAAAAACUAUGAACAAAUUCCUAUGCACACUGCACAUAUCUUAUUUUGAAGUAAAAAAACAAAACGGGAACAAAUACAAUAUUUGUAUUUGUAUGUGUCCCGCGGGCCAUAGUUUGAGGACCCCUGUGUUAGACCUUUGCGUUGCCUGCAUUUAGAUGCCUCAGGUUGGGGUGGACAAAGGGAAUUUGGCCAGGGUCUCGAUUUCUCUUCCUGGUGCUGUCCUAAGAGUGGUCUUGUUGUAGAAGACCGAAAAAAACCCAAGCACCGCUUAGAGAAAUGGAGGUACACAGCUUUAUUAUGCCGGCGGUCUCAGGGGAGCUGCUUCCAAAGUCUGAGCAAACCAAUAUGGUGGAAGCUCUUCUUCUAUCCCCUUUGGUUUCUUUGUCCCCCAAAUAUGGAUGGGACUUCCAGACCUUUCCUGGGCUUUGCAAAAAGCCCUGUGUGUUGGGAUGGGGUCCUUGAGACCAUACCUAAGGGCUUGGCCUGGUGCCAGCGCUGAUAACCCCUCUGGGGGUUGUGUGUUGUUCGUGGUUUAUGGCCCCUGUAAAAUGUGAGCAUUGAGGUAACAGGUCUUGCAAGACCAGAUUGUGGAGAAAGGGGCAGUGACUUAAGUAUAGGUUAUCACGAAUGUACAUUAGGUCACUGGCACAGGCUCAGAUUGCUGCCCCCCCCCUCCCCCAAACAUCAGGGUCACCUUGGAGUUAGCCUGUUAGCCUUCUCAGUCUGUUGUUCUAGAGCUGAACAGCCUUCUCCCUGUAGGCUGUUCGCCCGUCUGCGGAGUGACCACUACUUGGCUCUCUUCCCAAAGAGACCUGGCAGCUAGUGCCAGUUCGCUCCUCCGCAAUGUAGGGCGCCAUUUAACAGGAGCCCCUGGGGCGAAGAAUUCCUCCUGUGUAGCCACCGGAAUCCUCCGUUCACCGCCCUCAGGAAAAGGCUUUUUCAGAUCACACCCUGAAUGACUAUUUAAUCUUUAAUGGGGCCAACACGUCCAGACAGAACAAGGAGCAGACAGGGACUCCCGGCUCCUCCUUGGGGAUUUACCGGGCUUCAUGGUCUGACUGCUGUGCUGUGUGUCUGAUUAUGGGGUGGAUGGGGAUUGAGCCGACAGUGUCUUCCAUCAUGAGAUAAUACAGGACCAUGUUGUCGCUAAUCCAUAGGCACAAGACAGCCACAGGCCCUGCCCUCCUGGGGUGGCAGUCAGUCUGAUGGAGGAGGCAGACUAAUAAGGGCAGGUGUGGAGAGGGUUUGCUGCAGCACGUAGCAGUGGUCACUGAAGGGGGGUUGAGAGGGGUGUCUGAACAGAAGACUUAGAAUGAGACACUGCCGGGGAGGGGAAAAUUUCCCCUUUUAGUUAUUCUGGCUGGCCUAAUAAUCAAAUGGACAUGAGACAGAUCAACAGGAGAAGAUGAUCAAAUGUAGUUAUGUAUGUGCAGACAAGGGUUCCUGUAAGACAAGGGGACCAAAGGGCAAAUCUGACAGGUGAGGUUUCUAUGCCAUCUUGAGCCAAGGAGAAAGGGAGUAAUGGUUUAUAUUUCUAAGAGAAGGUAGGCAAUUCACAGAGAGAGAUGGGAAGGAACUAAAUAUUUGGUAAACAAAUUCUUGCAGGUCUACCCAGAAACAAUGGGACACAGAGGGUUCCUCCCUGUCUGCCACACUUAGUUUGUGUUAAAACAUAGUUGUCUGUGAUUAUAGCUCUCUUCCUGGAGCAGGUUCUCGGUCUAAAUUCCUUUAGGCAAUUUUUGGAGAAGGUCAAAGUUUCUUCCUGAGGCUUGUUUUUAAAAAAUAAACCAUCUUAAAAUAAACAAUAUUCCAAAAAAAGGCAUAUUUGAGGUGGGAAACCUCUCCUCCCCUUCAACUCAAAGAAAGAAUUCACCAGAUGAGGAGAGGUGGGAAGGAGUGAUCCAGGGAGAGGGAACAGAAUAUGCCGAAACCCGGAUGCCAGAGGGACCCUGCUGUGUUCAGCUGGGAGAAGAAGAGAGAAUAAGCUGGGGAGAUGGGGAGGGCCCACAUCCUGUUGGACCUCCUAGGACAGGAGUUCUCAACUGAGGGCAGUUUUGACCCCCAGGGGCCUUUGGCAAGAUUGUCACAGCUCGGUUGUCACAAACGUGUUUGUGUGUGUGUGGGGGGGGGGGGGGGCGGUGGGGGAGUGGCUCCUGGCACCAACUAGGUAGAGGCCCUGGAUGCUGCUAAACAUCCUGCCAGGCACAGGACAGCCCCUGGCAACAAAGAAUGAUCCAGCCCCAAAUGGUCAAUAACGCUGGUGUUGAGAAACUGGGUCUAAAGACUUUGUUCCUCCUUCUAAAGCCAAGAGGAAGCUAUAACCGAGUUUUACAGGAGAGGGGCAGGACCAGAUUUGUGUUUUGAAGUGAUCAGUCCAGCUGCUCUGAGGAAAUGUUGAGAUCUAGCUGUUCUAGUUCAGGGCCACUCCUAGUAGUACUGGACUGUUUUCUCCAGCGUGGGAAUUUCCAGCCUCUGUGGUUCCCCCCGCGCCCCCCACCCUCACCCCCACCCCCAGGACUUACCCUGGACUGCUUCGUGGACCGCUAGGCCUCUAGGAAACCCCAUCCAGGUCAGAGAAACCAAGUCAGAUACUUAGUAAGAACUAAGCAGGCCAGGGGGCUUUCCACUGAGCACAACAGGCACAGCACUCGGGCCUGUAAAAUGCUUAAGGCCCAUGUGUCGGGCAGAAAACGGUCCCCCAAAGAUGUCCCAAUCCCCAAAACCUGUGAAUAUGUUACUCUACAUGGCAAAGGGAUUUUGCAGAUGUGAUUAAACUAAGGAACUUGUGAAGUGUGGUAGCAAUCAUCUCAGGCAGAAACUGUGGUUUAACUUUAACCCUGCUGUUUGGCUUCUGUACUUAUUUGCUUUAACAAUAGAAAAGUUAUUUCGAUUUACUGAAUUAUAUAAAUCAUCCCAUUCGAUUGAAUGUCUUAUUGAUUGUAACGUGACUAUCCCAUUGAUUGUGGUCGUACUGGUUUUGGAAAGCACAUUCCGCUGUACCUGGGAACCAGGACAGCACACUUAUCCCAAGACCUGAGGGCUCCAGAUAAUGUGUCCCUGUCAACUCAGUGGUCCCAAGACCCGAGGGCUCUAGAUAAUGAGUUUCUGUCAACUCAGUGGUCCGAAGACCCAAAACUAUAAUUAAUCUUUGUAGAUAACUAAUCGGCUCAAUCUCGCUUCUGUGACUGCUUUGUGCAAACCAGGGUCCUCAUUCCAAACCCUGGGAUGUAAUUAAUACCUUUGUGAUCUUUGCCUAUAUAAAUCUGGUGUUGGGGCUGGGGAGGGCACUGCGAGAUUUGGGAGAGUGAAAUGCCCUCUCGUAGUCCCGCAUUUGCAAUAAAUAUGACUCCUUAAUUCGA